ACAAGAAUCAUCUCACUCUAUGA
rnacentral:piRNA from 1 species